GACGAACGCUGGCGGCGUGCCUAACACAUGCAAGUCGAGCGAAUGAAAUUCCUUCGGGAAUGGAUUUAGCGGCGGACGGGUGAGUAACACGUGGGCAACUUGCCUCAUAGAGGGGAAUAGCCUUCCGAAAGGGAGAUUAAUACCGCAUAAGAUUGUAGUAUCGCAUGAUACAGCAAUUAAAGGAGCAAUCCGCUAUGAGAUGGGCCCGCGGCGCAUUAGCUAGUUGGUGAGGUAACGGCUCACCAAGGCGACGAUGCGUAGCCGACCUGAGAGGGUGAUCGGCCACAUUGGGACUGAGACACGGCCCAGACUCCUACGGGAGGCAGCAGUGGGGAAUAUUGCACAAUGGGGGAAACCCUGAUGCAGCAACGCCGCGUGAGUGAUGACGGCCUUCGGGUUGUAAAGCUCUGUCUUCAGGGACGAUAAUGACGGUACCUGAGGAGGAAGCCACGGCUAACUACGUGCCAGCCGCCGCCGUAAAAC
rnacentral:rRNA from 1 species